UUCCGAAGGGGAAUGUUUAUUUCCUUUCCCUCGUUCAACUAUAAGUACUCCGAGAGAGGGUUCUCGAAGGAGUACGUUGUAAGGCUCUGUGAUUUUCCGUUAUCGACGAUUCUGUGUUCGUUGUAGGGCUUUGUGAUUUCCUUAUAUCGUCGACAGAUUCAAAAUCGCUACCAUUAAAGACUAGGUUUUACAGUUUCUUCUGUAAUGUCGAAGGUCAAGCAUGUUGGUUACGGCACUAUCCCAUCUUCUGGACCCUCGACUUCGAACUCGAUCCCUAUUCCGUCUUCUGGAGCCUCGAAUUUGAACUAUGGAGUCAAUUUUAUCUCUCGCGCAAAGGAAAGGGGAAGAGCAAUCAUCGCUACGCGGCGUCCAUGGAGAGAGCUCACAGAUUUAACUGCUUUUGGCCGUCCAUAUAGCUAUGGUGAAGCGAUGGUUCGUAUCAGGCGUAAUGCCAAUUAUUUCCGUGUCAAUUACGCCUUUAUCAUGUUGUUGAUACUGUUCUUGAGUCUUCUGUGGCAUCCGGUUUCGAUGAUAGUCUUCUUGAUCGUGUUUAUAGGUUGGUUCCACCUUUACUUCUUCCGUGAUGAGCCAUUGGUGGUAUUUAGCCGAACUUUUGACGAUCGUGUAGUUCUGAUUGUAUUGAGUUUGGUUACCAUUAUUGCCCUGGUUCUGACUCAUGUGGGAUUAAAUGUCUUGGUUUCUCUUAUUAUUGGAACUGUGAUUGUUGGGCUGCAUGCUACCUUUAGGAUUACAGAAGAUCAGUUUCUGGAUGAGCAGGAAGCUGCCGAUGGAAGAUUGCUUUCUGUUGUUGGAAGUCCGACUUCUAUGAGACCAACUUACGGUCGUGUUUGAGUCGGAUGUUUGGUGCUUUGGAUUGUGCACUGGUGAUUAGGUUGUUGUGUGGUGAUUGGAUAAUUGGAAUUAUGAUUUGAAACAAGUUGCAUUGAGUUUCAUUCGUCGGAUAUGCGGGCUGACUUCUUUAACUGUGCUGUAAAUGGUUUGGGGACAAAGAGAUGGGAUUCUCUACCUGCAUAUCUUUUGCUUUUGUUAUCGGAAGGUACAUCACGGAGGAGGAAUUGAUUUUAAGUGUCCCAUUGUAGCUUCCUGUAGAGCAGAUACUAGCUCUGACAACUCCAUCUGCAUAGAACUGCUUGAUCCUGUGCUUUUUGUGGAUGACUGAAGAUAAGAUCUGUCAGGGCUGGUACAGUUGGACUUUCCUUUGUUUAUGUAUAAGCACUCCUUUAGCAACAUCCUGUUCUGCGGAUUGAUCUGGGUUUGCUGAGUUGAAAUUGUGUGUGCUUAAUGUGCAACCAUCACAUUCUAAUUUUUGUUAGCAAAGAUUAAUCCCAUCUCGACAUGCAUUGGUUUUUUUUUUUUUUUUUUUAAUACCAGUGUUUCUACAUGCAUUGAAAUGAUAGAUUUUGGUUGAUUUCUGUAUCUUGCAAAGCAUAGCUGAUGACAGUACAGAUAGUCAAGUUAGUGUUUUGGCUUAUAAAUAUUGGUCUUCUUCACGACCACUCUAUCAAAAUUCGAAAUGUUCUUUACAGAUCAUUGCUUAUUGUGAGAGCAGAGAUUUAAUUCUAGUGGUUUGCAUGUGUGUGAGCAAGUCCUUAUUUGUAGUUCUUUUUGGUGGUUUGCCUAUUAUUAUUUCUUAAUAUACCUAUAAUAGGAUUUUGCUUCUUUUUUUCCUAGUUAUCAUGAAUUGAACGUUUAUACUGAUUUGUUUGUUCUCGUUUUCCGGAUUAUAUCUUUUUACAAGUAAACUCCAUAAUCUACUGCCUUAUGGAAAGGGAUUAUUACUCCCGUUGUAGUCCAAGUGCGGCUGAAGCCAAAGAUUGCAGAACAGAGAUGCUAUUCUUUCUAGUGGAUGCCAUGGGUUUCCAAUUCCUGAAUUUCAGAGCGGCUCCUUGUCUAUCAUCUAUCACCUGAAACAUCAAUUGGGUAAUCCCCAGAUGUUGACUAGGAUGCAAAGAUCAUCUUAUAUGAAGUGCUUAAUCUGAACUCUCAAUUACCUUGGGUUUUGUUAGUUUUUCUUACUGGUCUGUUAAUGAUGUGCCCAUCAUUUGGCAGGACUCAGGAGGGUGUGCACCCAAUCUUCGCCAAAUAGAAAUUCUCCCACGCUUAUCUUGUCUCGUAUCAUAUCCAUGGCAUAAGGAAUCGGAAUCUGCUGGCUCUGAUCCUGAAUCUGAUUCCGGCCAAUUUAAACCCCCUGUGAUGGGUUGGCCGAUCCGGUUGAUCUGCUAGCUGCAUAAUGAACAUGUCUCCUUCUGAAAUGCACAAGGGGGAGAAAUGGAGUUGCAGUGGUCAUCAGGUGGUUCAGCGGAAGGGCUACUUCUUUGUACCUGUUGCCCUGAGACUAAAUAAAGGCAGAAAGAUCCUUAGUUCCUCUUUUUCUAUUUUUAUUUCCUAUUUUCUUCUGUUGAUAGAACCAUAUGUUGGAGGGGAAAUGAAAUUGGUAUCGAAUACCAAGUUUAAUUACUUUUUUAUUUUUAUUUUUAGAUCAUUGGUUCACAUUUCACAUAAUCUUAUGUUUUGUCCCUAGUAACCGAUGCUACAUUAUUUGGUCUCCAGCCUGAUGUUGCUACUUGGUUCGUAGUAACAUAUAUAGCAUUUUUACCUGGUUCAUAGCAACCUAUGCUGUAAUUAUAUCUGUAAUCUCUAUUUGAGGGUCAUAAGUGCAUCUAUAUUUGGCAUUUUU